UAGAAUGAAAUUCAAAACAGUGUGGCUGUGGCCAUUGAUUGACACAUUAAAUUCAUCCAUUGACCGGGACAAUUUAGGUGAACGUUUGUAUGUAAAGACCACUGCUCACUAUGUACUUUUUAAAGACACUUAAACUAUGGGGUCACCAAAGGUUCUCAACACCUUAAUAAAGUAAUUCGAAAAAUUAAUCAGAAAUAACACGAUGUUUUGAUUUAUAUCAAUUAUAUAAAUCAAAACAUAAACGGUUAUUCCUGAUUGAUUUUUCGAAUUAUUUUAUAAUUAAAGGCGUUAAGAAACCUUUGGUGACCCCACAGUUUAAAUGUCUAUCGUAGGUACGUCGUGAACAGUGGUCGUUACAGACAAACGUUCACGUAAAUUGUCCCAGUCAAUGGAUGAAUUUAAUGUGUCAAUCAAUGGCCACAGCCACAC
rnacentral:lncRNA from 1 species